rnacentral:rRNA from 1 species
GACGAACGCUGGCGGCGUGCUUAACACAUGCAAGUCGAACGCAGUAGCAAUACUGAGUGGCAGACGGGUGAGUAACAUGUGGGAAUCUGCCUUGUGGUUCAGGACAACAUUGGGAAACCGAUGCUAAUACUGGAUAAGCCCUUACGGGGAAAGUUUUAAUGCCAUAAGAUGAGCCCGCAUUUGAUUAGUUAGUUGGUGAGGUAAUGGCUCACCAAGACAAUGAUCAAUAGCUGAUCUGAGAGGAUGAUCAGCCACACUGGGACUGAGACACGGCCCAGACUCCUACGGGAGGCAGCAGUGGGAAUCUUGCACAAUGGAGGAAACUCUGAUGCAGCGAUGCCGCGUGAGUGAAGAAGGCCUU